GUGCCAGCCGCCGCGGUAAUACCGGCAGCUCAAGUGAUGUCCCGUAUUAUUGGGCCUAAAGCGUCCGAAGCUGGCCGACCAAGUCUCCCGGGAAAUCCACCCGCCCAACGGGUGGGCGUCCGGUAGAAACUGGCCGGCUUGGAACCGGAAGGCUCAGAGAGUACGUCCGGGGUAGGAGUGAAAUCCCGUAAUCCUGGACGGACCGCCGGUGGCGAAAGCGCCUCAGGAGGACGGACUCGACAGUAAGGGACGAAAGCCAGGGUCUCGAACCGGAUUAGAUACCCGAGUAGUCC
rnacentral:rRNA from 1 species